CCCUUAGAUGUUCUGGGCCGCACGCGCGCUACACUGAUGCAUUCAACGAGUUUCUUCCUGGUCCGAGAGGAAUGGGUAACCUUUUGAAAGUGCAUCGUGAUAGGGAUAGACUAUUGCAAUUAUUGGUCUUCAACGAGGAAUUCCUAGUAGACGUAGUUCAUCAGACUGCAUCGAUUACGUCCCUGCCCUUUGUACACACCGCCCGUCGCUCCUACCGAUUGAAUGCUCAGGUGAGCCAUUCGGACUUUCAUCAUGCUGGUUUCCAGUUUUGAUGAAGGAAAGUCUUGCGAACCUUAUCAUUUAGAGGGAGGAGAAGUCGUAACA
rnacentral:rRNA from 1 species